rnacentral:lncRNA from 1 species
GUCCCUUUUCUUUCAAAAUCCUUUGUCUUUGACUUUUGACUGUUUGGUUACGAUAUGUCUAGAUGUAGCCUUUUUGGGAUUCAUUGUAGUGAGAUUCAGUGCACUUUUUAAAGUCGUAAAGUCUUGUCCACUUCCUACUCCAGUUUUGGGAAAUUUUGGGCCAUUUCUUGAUUCUGUAAGCCUUCUGGCACUUUCUUUUUCUCUGCUUUUCUCCUUAGUUUUAUAACAACCGUGGUCACCCCAUGGUGUCCUGUAAGUACCUUAGGCCUUCUUCCUUCUCUUCAAUCCCCACUCUUCUCAUUGUUUGACUUCAGACGCUUUUGACUUCAAGUUUGCUGAGUCUUUCAUUUGUUUGAUCCGGUCUCCUUUUGGACCCUUGUGGGAAUUUUUCAUUUAAAUAAUUGCAUUCUUCAGUUCUCAGACAUAUUUGGUUCUGUUUUAUAUUUUCUGUAUUUUUUUUUCUUUGGUACCAGGGAUUGAACUCAGGACUGCGCUUGUGGGGCAGGUGAGAUGCUGCUGAACUAAACCCCUGGCCCUUCUGUAUUUUUUUACACCCUCACUUUGCUUAUGCAUCGUCCCUUGGCCUGCCGUGCAUUUCGAUGGUGGCUAUUUCCAGACCUUUGAUGAUGGAAACCUCCUUUAUUUAUGAUACCUGGGGAAUUUGCUUUCCCAGUGCUUGGGCCAUUCUCCCAUUUCCUCAUCUUCCCCGUGACUUUGUUCAUGCCUUUGAGAAGGAAAGCAGAGCCCAGGGAGAGCAGGCAGGCAGGCGACCCUCCCUGCUGCCCUUCUGCGCAAACCUGGGCCGGCGCCUCCCUGGCGGCUCGCCUGGUCUCUCGCGCCCCCUGGCGUCCUUCCAGAGUACCACGGGCUGCCGCCUCCCCUCCCCUGGUCUGCAGUGGUCCCUGGGCUCCUGUGUUGCCAAAGCAUACAGAACAUCUCAAGUCUUGAGUCUCACUGUAAAAGUUUAUCCACAUUUUUCUCUGCUGCCUCUGAGCGUGUCCAGUGAACGUGCUUCAGUUUGCUCAUCAGUUAAUUAAAUGUUCCUCCUCCAGCCUCGAGUGGUAUCCAUACUUCUGAACUCUCCCUGGUCGGAUGGCAGCUCUGGCUGAGUCCCGGGCCCUGUGCUGAGGGGCUGAGAACAGGCAUCUGUCCCCUGUGUGGUCGGGGGCCGCUGCUUGGCAUCACUGGGUGGGUCCAGGAAGGGUGGGAGCCACAGGGUCGUGUGCCUCCCUCUUUCGCUCUGCCAGUCUUUCCUGGUGCCUCAGGCUCCUGAGAGGUGAACUGCAACUCAUGGGGAGCUGCAGUUUUCUUUCACACUCUUUGUGAGAAACCUAGAAAUUCUUUCACUGAUCUUUUUAAAAUUUGUUGGGUACUGAGGACUAAACCCACACCCUUUCAAAAAAAAUUUUGAGCCAGUCUCAGUAAGUCACAACAUUGCCCAGGUUGGUAUUGAAUUUAAAUUUUCCCGCCUCAGCCUCCAAAAGUGCCAGCAGCAUAGCGAUACAGGGGGAAGAGACGCAACUUCCAAACCUGCCAGGUAUGGAAACGCCAGUUCGUGUUCUCUAAAAUCGAAGAAUGGAUUCUAGGAACAACGGAGGUGAAGAGCAGGGAAAUUUAUUGAGAGAAAGAGAGCUUCUGCCUAAGGGAGACAGAAGGGGACCAGAGAGUGGGGCGCCAGGGACCCUAUUUCCCAGGGGGGUUUUAUGGAGCAAAGCCAGGAGGUGAGGCGGGUUCAAGGUGGGACAAAACUAUAAGACCCAACGGAAAAUUCCAAGGUGGGCAUGAGGUGGGGCAAAACCAUGACCGACCAAUAGGAUUACAAGUACAGUCACCCAGGUAAUAUUGAUUAAAUGGGGAUCAAAUGGGAAAACAAGUCACAUACAAGGGAUUUCCCAUUUAGAAAAUCAAUCACUGCUAUCUAUCCCCAGGGGAAGUAGUACCUCUUUUCCUUUUUCCAUAAUGCUAACCAGUGAAUGGGCCUCAGUUGUUCCCCAUGUUGGCUCCACCCUGUGUUGGUUACUUGAGGGCUGUGGCCUCGAGGGCGGCCCUGUCUCACUGCCUACAAGAUAUCUAAUUAAAUUACCUGUCUACAAUAAUAGGUCUGCAGCACCACACACCUCAUGGCCUCUUCCGCUGCAUCCAGUGUCAGGCGAGUCACUCAGUCCUCGUGGACAGCACGGAGGUUGGUCUCCAUCUCUCACUGCAAGGCUGGAAGGGAAUCUGAGCCCACCCUGAGAUAGCGUGUCUCUGCUGAGGCAUCAGCCUCAGCACCAGUGUCCCCUGGGUGUGAAGACACCUUUAUGGGUCGGUUCUGUUAUUGUUUGGCAUGGACAAGGCAAGAGGAUUCAAAAUGAACAGAUGGAAAUGAACCUGUAACAUAGAGAGGAAAUGCACACGCACGCCCCUGGAAUCUUGGCUUGGCUCCAAAAGCAGUGGCCAGCAUGGGUAUCAUGGGAAGCUCACACCUCAGCCCCCAGAGGAUGGUGACAUGGUCAGGUUGGUGCAGCCUCUGACAGCCCAGACCUCACAGGAGCUGGGCUGGAACUGCCAGGGCAGCUUGUGAGGCUCUGUGCACAUCACAUGAGUUGUCAUGCACAAGCACACUUCCAUGUUGCUGGCAUCUUGGAAGCCACCUACAAAUGCUAUUAUCGGAACUACCCUGAACCGUGUGUGUGUGCAUGUGUGUGUGUGUGUACAUGUGCUGGGGCUGCACCCAGGGCCUCCCCUGCUAAGGGAGUGCCCUGCACUGAGCGACACUCCAGACCUUCAGCUUUUUAUUAAAAGUUUUUAUUGUCCUUAAUAUUGACUUUAUUUACAUGAUCUUUUUUAAGAUAAGAGAAUGCACUAUAUUCGUUAGUAUCAUGGCACCUCACGAGUCCUUCCGCCAUGGUAGAUCUGUUGCCCUGGAGCCCAGCCAGUGUGGAAAACCUUUCUAUAGAAGGAAACCAAGAGAGAAGAAGCAUUGUUGAUGAUCAUGAAAGAAGAAAGGAACCCACUGC